GUGAGGAAUUUUGCGCAAUGGGGGCAACCCUGACGCAGCGACGCCGCGUGGAGGACGAAGUCUUUCGGGAUGUAAACUCCUGUCAGUGGGGGCGAUAAUGACGGUACCCACAGAGGAAGCACCGGCUAACUCCGUGCCAGCAGCCGCGGUAAGACGGAGGGUGCAAGCGUUGUUCGGAAUUACUGGGCGUAAAGCGUAUGUAGGCGGCAAGUUAAGUUCAAUGUUAAAGCCCACGGCUCAACCGAGGAGAUGCAUUGAAUACUGGCUAGCUAGAGGGUGUUAGAGGAAGACGGAAUUCCCAGUGUAGCGGUGAAAUGCGUAGAUAUUGGGAGGAACAUCGGUAGCGAAAGCGGUCUUCUGGGACAUACCUGACGCUGAGGUACGAAAGCGUGGGGAGCAAACGGGAUUAGAUACCCUAGUAGUCC
rnacentral:rRNA from 1 species